rnacentral:lncRNA from 1 species
GCUUUAGCAAAAGGGCAUUGGAGGAACAGGUGCUUAGUAGUCUCCAACUCUUCGCAGUGGAUACAACCUGGAUCUCCCUCUAGGCCUCUGUUCAGUAAGUUUUCGCCCACAGCUAAAGCAUUCUGGAUAAUUUUCCAAAUGAAAACUUUAAUUUUAGGGGAGAACUUCCCAUUCCAUAUCUCAGCAUUCCAAUUUAGGUCUUGGUUCAAUGGUAUGAUGGGAUCUUCUUCUGCAGAUGCGAUGUGGUAGCCCGUUUUUGACGUGUAGAUGCGAGACUUGUUCGAUAGCCAUACAUAUUUGUCAUGGGCUCUUUUUUAGCUGGGGCGAAGGCACAAGAUUUCCUCCACAUGAUGAGGUAGUAUCUGGUCGAUUCGGUGUUUGUUCCAAGCUUUUCCAUAAGCCGUGAGUAAGACUGACACAAGUAAAUCUUUGGUGUCAAGAUUGGCAGGUCCGACUGGUGUCUUGGGGUGAGAGAGGGAAAGCCAAGGGUCAUCCCAGAGAGAGAUAUUGCGCCCAUUCCCAAUCACUUUUCCCAAUUGUUUGUUGAGUAUAUCUCUUCCUAUCAAAAUCCCUUUCCAGCCAUGAGAGCCAUUUGAUACUGUGUGGACAUUAAGGAAGUGGCUGGUGUUGCA